AACGAACGCUGGCGGCAUGCCUAACACAUGCAAGUCGAACGAGGCCCUCGGGUCUGGUGGCGCACGGGUGCGUUACGCGUGCGAACCUGCCCUUAGGUGCGGAAUAACUCGCCGGCCGGGGUGCUAAUACCGGAUAAUGUUUUCGGACCAAAGAUUGAUCGCCUUUGGAUGGGCCCGCGUUGGAUUAGCUAGUUGGUAGGGUAAAGGCCUACCAAGGCGACGAUCCAUAGCUGGUCUGAGAGGAUGAUCAGCCACACUGGGACUGAGACACGGCCCAGACUCCUACGGGAGGCAGCAGUGGGGAAUAUUGGACAAUGGGCGAAAGCCUGAUCCAGCAAUGCCGCGUGAGUGAUGAAGGCCUUAGGGUUGUAAAGCUCUUUUACCCGGGAUGAUAAUGACAGUACCGGGAGAAUAAGCUCCGGCUAACUCCGUG
rnacentral:rRNA from 1 species